rnacentral:tRNA from 1 species
UAGUGCAAAGGUUAGCACAUCCGCCUAUGACGCCGAUUCCUGGGUUCAAAUCCCGG